GGCCCGUGGCUCAGUGGCAGAGCUUCUGCCCCCCCAUGCAUGUGGAAGGUUCCUGGUUCAAUCCCUGGCAUUACCA